rnacentral:rRNA from 1 species
ACGCUCGACACCUACGGGGGCAGCAGUGGGGAAUAUUGCACAAUGGGGGAAACCCUGAUGCAGCGACGCCGCGUGAGCGAAGAAGUAUUUCGGUAUGUAAAGCUCUAUCAGCAGGGAAGAAAAUGACGGUACCUGACUAAGAAGCCCCGGCUAACUACGUGCCAGCAGCCGUGGUAAUCUGAGCGGGCUGGCAAGGC